rnacentral:rRNA from 1 species
GUGCCAGCAGCCGCGGUAAUACGUAGGUGGCAAGCGUUGUCCGGAUUUAUUGGGCGUAAAGCGAGCGCAGGCGGUUUCUUAAGUCUGAUGUGAAAGCCCCCGGCUCAACCGGGGAGGGUCAUUGGAAACUGGGAGACUUGAGUGCAGAAGAGGAGAGUGGAAUUCCAUGUGUAGCGGUGAAAUGCGUAGAUAUAUGGAGGAACACCAGUGGCGAAGGCGGCUCUCUGGUCUGUAACUGACGCUGAGGCUCGAAAGCGUGGGGAGCGAACAGGAUUAGAUACCCUGGUAGUCCACGCCGUAAACGAUGAGUGCUAAGUGUUGGAGGGUUUCCGCCCUUCAGUGCUGCAGCAAACGCAUUAAGCACUCCGCCUGGGGAGUACGACCGCAAGGUUGAAACUCAAAGGAAUUGACGGGGGCCCGCACAAGCGGUGGAGCAUGUGGUUUAAUUCGAAGCAACGCGAAGAACCUUACCAGGUCUUGACAUCCUUUGACCACUCUAGAGAUAGAGCUUCCCCUUCGGGGGCAAAGUGACAGGUGGUGCAUGGUUGUCGUCAGCUCGUGUCGUGAGAUGUUGGGUUAAGUCCCGCAACGAGCGCAACCCUUAUUGUUAGUUGCCAUCAUUUAGUUGGGCACUCUAGCGAGACUGCCGGUGA